ensembl:lncRNA
UUAGUUGAAGACCCCUUCUUGAUAAUGGAUGUUUUAUAGUUAGAGACUCUGUCACUAGUGGGGUUUCACUCACCGUCCUGGUGCCCUAUCAGUAAUUACUUCUUCCCUGUGGGGCUGUUCAGCAGUGACCAUAUCAGUGUGCAAAAUAUAGUUUCCUUUGAAAAGGAUGACCCACCAUUAAGAGGAAAUGUCUUUGAUGUGCCAGGAUUUCUUUUACUGUUCCUCAUUUAUGGAAGAGUUGCUGGCUGUGUCAAGGUGCAGGAUAAUUACCUGUUUACUACUGGAGGUGGAAGAAGAGAUAUCACACCAGAUGACAUGACUCUACCUGCUAUGUGGACACAGAGGUGGCCUAAUAUGUCCUUGUCAGAAUCUUGUGGCUGAAAUUUCUGUGCUGAAUGCGAGUAUUUUUUAAUGAGGUGGAGUCAGGUAAUUGGAGAAACUAAUCUACAAUACUUGUAGAUUAACUUGAACAGUCUUUUAUUUUGUGUUUCAUCGAUUAACAUGCUUAAUUUAAAUAUUAUUCAAAUUAACUUCACCUUAACUAUGCACAGAGUGAUGUGGAUAUUUGUGCAACAGCUCUGUUCACGCUCUAGCCUAGUUUGCUAUUUGUGCAGAUUAUUGUUAGACUGUGGUCCAAGUAGUGAGUCCUGUCCCUGUGUUUGAGCACCAGUGAAUUUUAAAUUAGUAUCCUGUAAUUCUGUAUGUAAACAAAAUAAAUUGUGUGUACUAGAACAGUUAUUCUGCUAAUGUCUAAAUACUGGAAUGUCUGCUGGCUUUGGGUAUCAUAUAGGAGAGCUGCACAGAGUAGAAUUUACUUGCUGUAGUUGCUUGAAUUCUACUCCCAGAAAAUCUGAGCAGUGCUGGGCUCUGCCAUUUUUUUGCUUAUGUCUAUUUACAUGCUGUUUUUUAAAGUCUUAGCACCCAAUUAACUAAUAGUUUGGUGCACAGUCUAUUAACAACCAAGAAGAAGUAUUUUAAAACCUAUAUGAUGGAAUGAAAAAUACUUGAUUGCUUCAAAGAAAGAUUGAGAUUGUAUUACUGAGUUCAUUCUUACUGUGGAGGGAAUCUUAUGGGACCUCAUAGGCUUCCGAGAAGAAAUGUUAAGAAAUAGUGUGUGUAGACUGCUUUUGCUCUGUGUUUUCACUGAGGGGUAUCUAUCAUGCAAGAUUAUUCCAUCAAAUUGUCCAAAGUGUUUCAUUUGAUUAGUUUCUACCUAUUCAGUGGGAGAGUUAGUGGUGAUUGGUUGUAUUGGUUUGUUUCUGCUCCCUGCAAGCACAAAUACCACCAUGUUUUUGCCAUGGAAUGUCCAGUAUGUGUACGUGGUACAGUGCUGAAGUUUAGGCGUACUUGUAUACUUCUCUAUUUUAGAGUUCAUUUGCAUCUAAUCAGGAUAACUGGAACCAACACUUAAAAAAAAGUCAGGUCAUAAGAACUAGAAUACUUUGGCUGUUGUAUCUCUCUUUUUCUUCUCCAGCAUAUAUAAUUCUAUGAAUUUUAUGGAAAGCACUAAUUUUUUCAGUGACUGUUUCUAUGUCUGAAUUUUUAUAUUUCUCUGUGAAUAAAAUGAAUAAAUCAUAUCUAA